rnacentral:rRNA from 1 species
AUGAAGCAGCCGCUUUUGGACCACGCAACUCCUUCCUCAUCCGAGGCAACAGGCACUAAAUCACUCUUCACAGAUGCUGGAUGGUUCAGCAUCAUCACUUUUUCUUGGAUGGGCCCCUUACUUGAUCUCGGCAGAAAGAAAACUCUAGAUCUCGACGAUGUGCCCUUCUUGGAUGACAGGGACAGUGUCCAUGGGGUCCUCCCUAGUUUCAAGGCAAAGAUUGUGUCAAACUCUGCGACGGGCCAGUUCACCGACGCUACGGCGGCCAAGCUUGCCAAAGCUAUUGUGCUUACAACAUGGAAACCGAUCCUCGUCACUGCCGUCUACGCCCUACUCAGCAGUGUUGCUUCAUAUGUCGGUCUCUACCUGAUCGAGUACUUUGUCGACUACCUGAAUAAGAGCUCAAGGUCCAGCAGAGAGGGCUACGUUCUAGCAUUGACGUUUGUUGUCGCGCAGCUGAUCGAAGGUCUUUCGACGAGGCAUUUGCAGUUUAGAUCAAAACAAGUAGGGGUGCGUGCACGUUCGUCGCUUGUCGGAGGGAGUACCAGAAAGGCCUUGCCCUCUCCAGUCAGUCCAGGCAAAGCAACUCGAGCGGAGAGAUGA